AUGUAAGAAAAGCAGUGCGUGUGUUUGCAUGUGUGUGUAAGGGUUUGCAUUGUGUGUUUCUGUGUAUGUGUGCAAAGGAUGCAUUGUCUGUGUGUAAGGGUUGCAUUGUGUGUGUGUAAUGGAUGCAUUGUGUGUUUCUCUGUGUGUAAGGGAAGCAUGUUGUGUUUCUGUGUGUGUAGGGGUUCAUUGUGUGUUUCUGUGUAUGUAUAGGGAUGCAUUGUGUGUGUG